rnacentral:rRNA from 1 species
UACGUAGGGGGGCAAGCGUUGUCCGGAUUUAUUGGGCGUAAAGAGCGUGUAGGCGGUUAGGUAGGUCCGUUGUGAAAACUCGAGGCUCAACCUCGAGACGCCGAUGGAAACCAUCUGACUAGAGUCCGGAAGAGGUGAGUGGAAUUCCCAGUGUAGCGGUGAAAUGCGUAGAUAUUGGGAGGAACACCGGUGGCGAAGGCGGCCCCCUGGACCGGUACUGACGCUGAGGCGCGAAAGCGUGGGUAGCAAACGGG